GCUCUUUCGCCUGUGAAGAUAAUGACGGUAGCAGGUAAACGAAACCCCGGACUAACUCCGUGCCAGCAGCCGCGGUAAUACGGGAGGGGUUAGCGUUGUUCGGAAUUACGUGGGACGUAAAGCGCACGUAGGCGGAUACGGAAAGUUGGGGUGAAAUCCCGGGGCUCAACCCCGGAACGGCCUCCAAACUAAUCGGUCUAGAGUUCGAGAGAGGUGAGUGGAAUUCCGAGUGUAGAGGUGAAAUUCGUAGAUAUUCGGAGGAACACCAGUGGCGAAGGCGGCUCACUGGCUCGAUACUGACGCUGAGGUGCGAAAGUGUGGGGAGCAAACAGGAUUAGAUACCCUGGUAG
rnacentral:rRNA from 1 species